UGGGGAAUAUUGCACAAUGGGCGCAAGCCUGAUGCAGCCAUGCCGCGUGUGUGAAGAAGGCCUUCGGGUUGUAAAGCACUUUCAGCGAGGAGGAAGGGUUCAGUGUUAAUAGCACUGUUCAUUGACGUUACUCGCAGAAGAAGCACCGGCUAACUCCGUGCCAGCAGCCGCGGUAAUACGGAGGGUGCAAGCGUUAAUCGGAAUUACUGGGCGUAAAGCGCACGCAGGCGGUUUGUUAAGUCAGAUGUGAAAUCCCCGCGCUUAACGUGGGAACUGCAUUUGAAACUGGCAAGCUAGAGUCUUGUAG
rnacentral:rRNA from 1 species